rnacentral:piRNA from 1 species
UGAAAGAUUUCAACCACUCAUACCAUGCCU